GGGGUUAGUUAUGGUUUCUAUUGAGAGAAUAGUCCAGAUCAUAUGCUUUCAGGGAGAUGUCUUUGACUUCCUAAAUCAAGCAAAGACAAAAAUAAAUGCUAAAAAUAGAAUAGCUAAAGGUCUAGCUGCUUUCAAAAACAGCUUUGCUCCUGUAACUGUUGUUGCUUAAUCGAUAACAUUACGAAACGUAGCCUUUGCUAAGCAAUGAUGUCAGAUGACUGCUACAAAUUUUUAGAAAUAUUAUCUUGGUGUUUUUAAAAAUAUUUUACAAGAUUUACAAAAUAAUUUUUUGAGAUUUUAAUUCAUUUUGUAAUAUUAAAAAAAUUUUAUUUUGAAAUAUUUUUUGUUUGUUUUUUAUUUUUCAAGAUUAUUAAAAAUAAACUAUGAAAGUAGAAGUAUUUUCUCGGCCUCUCAAGACGUCGGUUCAAAUCCGUCUAACUCCACCA
rnacentral:tmRNA from 1 species